rnacentral:lncRNA from 1 species
UUAUGGAUUCAUUGGCAUCGCCCCCACUGACUUCAUAUGCUCUCCUUAGAGUGUACCCAGCUCCCCCACCACGCUUCAUGCACCUGUUGCUCCACCGCGCCUCCCAGCGUGAGCGCCGCCCGCCCCUCCCCCUGUGGCAUCGUGGUGUCCUUUGACUGUGCUGGCUGGCGAGUUCCCUGUCCUCCCUCACUGGUCUUUCAAAACAGUUUUGGCUGGUUUUGUACAUGUGUCUUUCAUAUGGUUUUUACUUCUAUAGUCAGAAAAACUAAGCAUUUUUCAAAGUCACAUUUAGAAUCAUUCAAUCCUUUCAUGAGCGUGAGUGCCAAGUUCUCCUGUGGGCUUGCUGGACUCCUCUGCUCUGUCCCGGAGCGGGCUGGCCUCAGCCUCGGGAUCUGCAGACACCCCCUUUGGCACUCUGCAGGCACACUGUCCUCAAACCUUCUUGCACCCAGUGCGAGGUGGGACCAUUAGGAUUAUCCCCAUUUCACAGAUGAGGGACACUGAGGCACAGCAAAGUUGAGUAAGUUGUCCAAAACCCCACAGAGGUGGAGCUGGUCCUCAAACCUGAGCAGUGUGACUCAUGCAGCUGCACUGGUAACCACCGUGCAGCCUCAGCUGUCCUUGGCCCUAGAUACUCCUCCCAGUGGAAACAUUGGUGACAACAGGAGCAGGAAGAUGAUCUGGCUGGUGGAUGCCUCCUCCCCAGUAUUGCCAGAAAGGCUUUCGAGGUCAAGUUCAGGACGUGUUUUCCUCUCACGAAGUGCUUUUCCUGGAGUUCCCAGCACCCUCAGUUCUAGUGCCCCUGCGUGUGGGUGGUCCCAGCAUUCGGUUCUGUAGAAUCAGGUGUGUUCUCUAAUGCUGGGACUUUCUUCACGCUGUACCCAGAGGUACAGCAGUAGAACUGCGUGUCAGCGGUAACAGCGGCUGCCAUCGAGUGUGUCGGCUAGGCGCUGAGAUGUGCUCUUUGAAUAUGGGAUCUCUUUUUGACUCUCCGGAACCCAGGGAGGUGGAGGUGGGGCAUCUCCAGCUUGCAUGUGAGGAAGCGGGAGUUGAGAAGCAGCAGGCAGGGCCAGGCAGGGCCGGGCCUGGGGCCUGGUGUCCGACCGCAGCCCAGCCCCCCUCAUCGCCUGACACUCUGCCUCUGCACACAGGGCAGUGCCACACGCACCUCUCUGCAGAACCCCCCAGCUUACCCGAAAGGGUUGGCCUACCCAGGAAGCCAAGGGAGAUUCACCCCAACACCUCCAAACAUGAAAGCAGGUGUCCCGGCCGCCAGAUUCCCUCGUGAAAGCACUUCAGGUGGUCAGACCGCUUCCCAGUGAGAUCCCAUCGGGACAUGUUUCUAGUGCUCUUCAGUUCCUAGCAUUCCCCGGGGAGCUGCGGAAGCAUUUUCUCAUGGACACACUGUCUCUUGUGAAUAGGUUCCAGGUCAGCCCAGGAGAGCCAUAGCAGCUGCUGGUGCCACCGUUCAGCAGGGGUGAGUGCCCUGCCUGCAGUCAGGAGGCUUGUGCCCGAGCUCUGGAACAAAUCAUCACUUAGGAUACAGCUUCCCUGGAAAGAAAUUAAGUGUCAGGACUUUUAGACCAUAAGUUGCUUGAAAGUCGAGAAUGGCAGACAUAGGGUUGUGGUGUUGCCAGUCCACUGCAGGUGCUCCAGCCCGCGGCGCGGCCUGCGCUGCUGUCUUUGAGGCUGUAGCACAAGCAUGAGCUCGGGCCCCCUCCCUGUGCACCGGAGACCCAGCCAGGUCCAGCCGGUCUGUCCAUGGUGCCCCACCAGCAGCAUCGUGCUGGGCAGUGCCGCCUGCAGAGUCAUGGAGCCUUAGUUACUGAGCAGGUGCACGUGGGGGGCUUGGAAGGCCCCACUGCAUUACCAUGCCAGCUAUCACACACCCCGUGCCAGAGGACUGCAUGUGACACGGCUUGAUUACGUGGCACUCGCUGCUGCAAAGCAAAGUCAGAUGUCAUCAUGGAAACUCAAGCACCAGUCUUUUUCUCUGAAUUGGAAUAUAGCUGUAAGAAUGUGGUAUGAUUCUGUUCCUAAAUGUGAAUUGAUUAUUAUGUUGAAACAGGUAAAAACCCCAAAAUUUUCUUGUCACGUGUUCCUGUGUCUCUUUCGAAGUGUGUCACCUUAGGUCACUGUGUGGACACAGCAAGGGUGGAGGACGCUAACUUGGCCUUUGCAGUGAUGGUGGGGUGGGACAGGUGUUCUGGGGCACGAGGGGCCCCUGAGAAUCCCCUGCCUGGGUGUGUUUCUUCUGAUUCUGUCCCUCACGUCUCUGUUUUCUCCCUUUUCUGUGCUCCAGAGCAGCCAUCAGCAGGGACCCUUUCUACGAAAUGCUCGCAGCACGGAAAAAGAAGGUCUCCUCCACGAAGCGACACUGAGCGUGCAGCCAAGGGCGUUGGUCUGCGGGGGCCUUGGAGCUCCUGCUCUUCUCCCGCACCUCCAUGGAUGCACUGCUGCCGAGCAGAGCGUCCUCUGCCAGGCCCCGCCCUGGAUUCCUAGAGACUAGCUUCAGCUUUUGCUAUUUUUUUUAAGUGGGAGAAGGGUGGGCAGUUAUCACUGGGGAAGAGAGGACCGGCCACCUGUCCAGCAUGGGCUCCAGAGCCUUCCUCUCUCACAGGGCAGAGCUCUUGUCGGCAGGGCAGCCUCCUGGCCAGUUUCUCUGCUCAGUGUUCUGGUAGCAGAGCUCAGAGCCAACUGUUUACCUCUUGGUUGUCCCCGUGAAGAAGCCUUCAAACCCUGCACCAUAAAUACAUGUGUCCAUAUAUUAUUAUAUGUUAAGAGAAAAAGGUGGAAAGGAAGAGAAGCCACAUACUAUAAAGAUCUAUUUUUUUUUUUUUAAGAGAGAACGUAGGGCUGUUCAGGUGCAUUCUGCCCUGGCUGCGCUGGGGAGCUUCUCCCUGGAGAAGAGCACCUGGGGCUGCGGCCAAGGGGCAUCAGCCUGGGCCCGCGGCAGGGCCUGGCCUGCCUCUCCUGUGCUGUGGGAGCUCGCUGCCUGGUGCUUGUCUGGGCGAGAUGGACAGGUGAGGUCGAGGACGCAGAGGGCAGAGGCCCAGUGGAGCCUCAGACGGCACAGUCAGAGUCGGGGGCCUGCCCUGGCCGGGGUCGCAGUCGGCAGCAGCGUGCAGUCCGGCAUCUCCCGCGGAUGCUUUUCCAUCCCAAGUGCCUGCGGAGCGCCGAGGAGAGGAGAGAGCUGACUGGACGCUUACGUUAUUUUCCUCCUUCAGAAUCCAAGUUCUUGUUGGGCUUUAAAGUAGAAAGUCAGCAUUUUCCUUGAGCUAAAUACCUAAUAACCAAAACUGUGAGGAAGGUUAUCGGGACAGAGGUUCCGGAUAACCUGUUUCAUUUUGGGUUUUCUUCCUCUUCCCCAGACUCCAGUCCUCGUUCUAGAGGAAGGAGUAGGACUUCCCCGAUCCCCGUAGGGCUUCAGCUUUUUCUGCCUCAAAACCAGCCCUAACUGGACUACUCUGGAUGCAUUUUGUGGUGGGCCCCCUAGAGGGGAAGAUGGGCCUUUAUCUGCUCCGUGGGGUGCACUGGAGUGAGGGGGGUGGCCGGGCUGCCUCUCGCAUCUCUGUCUUCCCCUGCAGGCGCUGUGUGAGCUGGCCCUGCCCCUCCUCAUUACAGUAUGAAGGGAGCCGUGACACGCAGCAUUUUCCUGCCGUUCUCUCAGGGACUCUCAGGGCAGCUCCUGCCACUCCGCCAGGGCCAGCAUGCCAGUCCAGGCAGAGCAGGUGGCUGGCUGUCUGGCCGUCUCGCCCCGCCCCUCCACAGGACCCUGGACCAGGGCGGUGCAGGGCGCAGCCCUGAGGAGGCAGGUGGAGGAGCUGCGGGUUUUCACAGGGCCGCGUCGCCACGGCUCCUCUGAUCCUUUAGGGUUGGCGAGCAUCUCUGGAAAUAGCUUUUGCAGAGGAGUGGUGGGAGGAAUAGAGGGGGACAGUCUGUCACCUCCCUCCCCGCCACUUUGUGUAGAUCCUACCUGGAGGGAAUGGCUUUAGGCACUUUUGUGCCAGAGCUUGUGAGGGUGACAGAAGAGGGUCCAGGCUGGAAACCUGAACUUUCUGGGUGGGAGAACCAGGUGGUGCCUGCCGAGGUCUGGGCGUGUUUGGGCCGGUGCUGGAGCCUGUCCAGCUGGCCCGGGCCCUGGCCUGGUUCUCAAGUGUUUCCUAGACAGAGAGGCACCUGGGUCAGUAUUAGUCUAUUUAUCAGAGGUGUAAAUAAUCUAUGUAUAGUUUUUCUCCUUUUAGAUUAUUUUGUAUUUGUUUAAAAGAAGUUUUGUCAAAAUACAAAAAUAUAAAGAAAUGACUGAAAGUUGUUGACAGGGUUUUUAAGAAAUAAUUAUUCUAAUUGUUUUUGUUUGUUUGUUUUUGCCUUGUAAACUAGCGCCAAGGAACUGCAGCAAAUAAACUCCAACUCUGCCCAAGCC